GGUGAGAUGGCCGAGUGGUUAUGGCGCUGCGUUCAGGAUUAUCUGAACAAAAUUUCGCAGUGGAGCAAUCCGCGUGGGUUCGAGUCCCACUCUCAUCA